UGCGAAGGGGGGACGGAGAAGGCUAUGUUGGCCGGGCGACGGUUGUCCCGGUUUAAGCGUGUAGGCUGGUUUUCCAGGCAAAUCCGGAAAACUAAGGCUGAGGCGUGAUGACGAGGCACUACGGUGCUGAAGCAACAAAUGCCCUGCUUCCAGGAAAAGCCUCUAAGCAUCAGGUAACAUCAAAUCGUACCCCAAACCGACACAGGUGGUCAGGUAGAGAAUACCAAGGCGCUUGAGAGAACUCGGGUGAAGGAACUAGGCAAAAUGGUGCCGUAACUUCGGGAGAAGGCACGCUGAUAUGUAGGUGAAGCGACUUGCUCGUGGAGCUGAAAUCAGUCGAAGAUACCAGCUGGCUGCAACUGUUUAUUAAAAACACAGCACUGUGCAAACACGAAAGUGGACGUAUACGGUGUGACGCCUGCCCGGUGCCGGAAGGUUAAUUGAUGGGGUUAGCGCAAGCGAAGCUCUUGAUCGAAGCCCCGGUAAACGGCGGCC
rnacentral:rRNA from 1 species